rnacentral:lncRNA from 1 species
GAGAGUCCGUGUGCAACUUCCCGGUCUUAGUCAGGAGCUUCUUCAGAAGUUGAGAGAGAAGAAUAUUGAUUUUGCUGCACAUAAUGCUCAAGAAGACUCCGGAUCUCUUUUGUUCAAUUUGAUUGGAAACUUGGCAUUCCCCCUUAUCCUAAUAGGAGGUUUGUUUCUUUUGUCGAGACGGUCAUCUGGUGGGCUUGGUGGACCUGGAGGCCCUGGCUUUCCACUUGCCUUCGGUCAAUCAAGAGCCAAGUUCCAGAUGGAACCUAAUACGGGGGUCACUUUUGAUGAUGUUGCUGGAGUAGAUGAAGCAAAACAGGACUUUAUGGAAGUAGUUGAGUUCCUGAAAAAGCCCGAGAGAUUCACUGCAGUGGGAGCCCGUAUUCCUAAAGGUGUCCUUCUAAUAGGUCCUCC